GGUCAUUUAGAGGAAGUAAAAGUCGUAACAAGGUCUCCGUUGGUGAACCAGCGGAGGGAUCAUUACCGAGUUUACAACUCCCAAACCCCUGUGAACAUACCACUUGUUGCCUCGGCGGAUCAGCCCGCUCCCGGUAAAACGGGACGGCCCGCCAGAGGACCCCUAAACUCUGUUUCUAUAUGUAACUUCUGAGUAAAACCAUAAAUAAAUCAAAACUUUCAACAACGGAUCUCUUGGUUCUGGCAUCAAUGAAGAACGCAGCAAAAUGCGAUAAGUAAUGUGAAUUGCAGAAUUCAGUGAAUCAUCGAAUCUUUGAACGCACAUUGCGCCCGCCAGUAUUCUGGCGGGCAUGCCUGUUCGAGCGUCAUUUCAACCCUCAAGCACAGCUUGGUGUUGGGACUCGCGUUAAUUCGCGUUCCCCAAAUUGAUUGGCGGUCACGUCGAGCUUCCAUAGCGUAGUAGUAAAACCCUCGUUACUGGUAAUCGUCGCGGCCACGCCGUUAAACCCCAACUUCUGAAUGUUGACCUCGGAUCAGGUAGGAAUACCCGCUGAACUUAAGCAUAUCAAUAAGCGGAGGAAAUCACUAGUGAA
rnacentral:rRNA from 1 species